UUGACUGCUACAAUACAUGUUUAUUCUACCUGCAGAAUAUAUGUUUAUUCUACGUACGUAUCUUUUACCUAUUGUAUCUGUUGUGAUAUGUAUGCACGUUACGAACCUGUUUAAAAGCUUGAUAAAAUAACAACGCUACUCAAUCAACUUAUAGCAAUUAUUGUGAAGAGAAGUUCGACUAAGUUUUGUUAUCAUGGAUCAAAAGGAUAUAUCACGGCUGAAAUAUUCGAAAUGCUGUGCAAAUGUUGGCAAUAAGAAGUGCAGCCGUAAGGGUUCACGCAGUUUAUCUUCAACGAUAAUAGAAAAAAUACGGUCCAUGGGUUAUGACCAAAAACUGGAUGAAUCGCUGCACACUUGUGUUUCUUGUCAAGCUGUAAUAUCGCAUAGCAGAAGUGUUCCACAAAAAAGCGACGAACGGAUGAAUACGAAGCAACGCAAGAUUUCGAAGAUCAACAACCAUAAACAAGUAAAAGUCUGCAAGAAUCAACAUGUGAAAAUCCGCAACCACCAACAAUUGAUGCUGAGCAGCCAUUAACAAGUUGUGAAGAGAUUAUUGACAUGCUAGAAGCAGUACCGUCAGUUCCAUUAUUACAGUUAAUCGCGUCAAUGGAUCAGCUGCAGGAUGGAGCAGCUGCUCAUUAUAAAAACAAAAAAAAAUUGCGAGCCUGUGUGAUUUCAAUUUAAGGCAUAAAUUAGAAGCAGAGUGGCACUUUUUCGCAACAUCACAUGGGAAAGGACCCUGUGACGCAAUCGGAGGUACUCUCAAACGAAUGGCAAAGAGAGCAAGUCUUGCCCGAGAUUACGGAAAUACAAUUAAAACUCCAAGAGAACCUUACGACUGGGCAGUUCAACAAACAGACAAAUGUAUAACUAAAUUAAAUAUCUGCUACAUAUGCAAAGAACAGUACACAAAAAUGUCAGAAGAACUAGAAGAACUAUUCAGUCAAGUAAAACCUAUACAUAGAACACAAAAAUUUCAUAGUUUUGUAUCUUUAAGUAAUAAUCAAAUAGCAGUUAAAAGAUAUUCUAGUUCAGAAGAUGACCCAAA